rnacentral:lncRNA from 1 species
UCAUUGUAUUUUAAUUAAGGAUUAAUUUCAUACAAAUCUCAAUAAAUACAGUAAAUUAUAAAUAUAUCCUUACAAAAUUUAAUUUUUAUAUAUAUGUUGCUUUUACAAAAGUUGUAAUAUUUUCAUAUAUAUCCAUCUGGUUUUUUUACCGUUAAAGCACUCUUUAUUUUUAUAAGUGAAAUGACUUUUUUGUCAUCAUAAACACGUCCCUCAAAAAGUCCCAACAGUAUAAUAUAAGAGAGAUAAUUAAAAAGUUAUCUCAUAAACUAACUAGAAUUAAGCAUUUUAACCUGUGGUUAACUAAAAUUUUUUAACGGAUUUUAACGACAGGAACAUACUUGAAAACAUUAGGAGUUUUUGCAGAGACAAUAUAUAAAAGUCGAACUAUGUAGGGAUAUAUUUAUAAUUCACUAUGUUUGCAGGGACCUGUAUGAAAUUAACCCUUUAAUUAAUAUCUACUACAUACGUUAGUCAAAUCUCAGUGUUCCGGAGGGAGUACGUAAUAGAAAAUAUUUUAUUUAUUUUGAUAAAAAUUAUUAUAUUAGAUUAUAUAGAUCGUAUUGUUUUGUUAUAUUAAAAAAAUAUAGAAGCGGGUGGCAAAGGGUUUGGUGAUUGGUACCCGAGACCCAAGUUCGAAUCCUAGUUGAUUCACAUUUCCAGCUAAGUUUAUUUUUAAAAUGAAAUAAACAAAACGGAUAGCGUGCUAUCUAUCUCUCAAAAAAAAAAAGAAAAA